rnacentral:rRNA from 1 species
AUGUCCAUCACCGCCCACUAUAUCAAUGCAGAAUUCAUCUACAAGAAGAAGAUCAUAAGUUUCGCAGAGGUGAAGUAUCCUCACACGGGCUAUGCGAUAGAAGAGGAACUUGUUGGUUGCCUAACAGAAUGGGGCAUAAGGGGCAAGCUGUUCACUUUGACACUAGAUAAUGCUAGCAAUAAUACUAAUGCAUGUGAUGAGUUAAUAAAAUAUCACAAACAUGAGCUGCUCCUUGAAGGUCAACAUUUGCAUGUGAGGUGA